AGAGUUUGAUCCUGGCUCAGGAUGAACGCUGGCGGCGUGCCUAAUACAUGCAAGUCGAGCGAACAGACGAGGAGCUUGCUCCUCUGACGUUAGCGGCGGACGGGUGAGUAACACGUGGAUAACCUACCUAUAAGACUGGGAUAACUUCGGGAAACCGGAGCUAAUACCGGAUAAUAUAUUGAACCGCAUGGUUCAAUAGUGAAAGACGGUUUUGCCGUCACUUAUAGAUGGAUCCGCGCCGCAUUAGCUAGUUGGUAAGGUAACGGCUUACCAAGGCAACGAUGCGUAGCCGACCUGAGAGGGUGAUCGGCCACACUGGAACUGAGACACGGUCCAGACUCCUACGGGAGGCAGCAGUAGGGAAUCUUCCGCAAUGGGCGAAAGCCUGACGGAGCAACGCCGCGUGAGUGAUGAAGGUCUUCGGAUCGUAAAACUCUGUUAUUAGGGAAGAACAAAUGUGUAAGUAACUAUGCACGUCUUGACGGUACCUAAUCAGAAAGCCACGGCUAACUACGUGCCAGCAGCCGCGGUAAUACGUAGGUGGCAAGCGUUAUCCGGAAUUAUUGGGCGUAAAGCGCGCGUAGGCGGUUUUUUAAGUCUGAUGUGAAAGCCCACGGCUCAACCGUGGAGGGUCAUUGGAAACUGGAAAACUUGAGUGCAGAAGAGGAAAGUGGAAUUCCAUGUGUAGCGGUGAAAUGCGCAGAGAUAUGGAGGAACACCAGUGGCGAAGGCGACUUUCUGGUCUGUAACUGACGCUGAUGUGCGAAAGCGUGGGGAUCAAACAGGAUUAGAUACCCUGGUAGUCC
rnacentral:rRNA from 1 species